UUCUGAUAUUAGCCCAUUCCUAACAUAUUUAUACACUUCCUGUCAGUGUGGUCUAAAUUUCAGAUUUGUACUUUCAGUUCAAGAUGGCCAACCACAAAUUUAAUCUACCUCUCCAUCCACGCAGAGGCAAACAAAUACACGAAAACAUAAAAGGACUGGGGACAUGAAAGCCAGCCCUCAUAAAAUCUGAGGACCUCCUAAACUAUGGAAAGAUGAUUUUUUCAGAUUUCAGUUGAAGAAACGGAUGAAGCUACAUCCUAAGAAAUUGGUGUUAAUUGUAGCAACUCCUAGAUCAGCUCUAAAAAGUUUUAAGGUCAGUCAACUCCCCCUUCCCCUCUCCAAGGAGAUUCACCAUCAGCCAUGAUUUGUGUUCUCAGGCUAAUUGCAAACAGCAAUUCACUAAGAAAAGUAAGCACCUGUCUUGCUAGAUCAUGAGUGGGAAGCAGAGCAAAAUGGGAAGCAAUUCUCAAAGAGGGAAAAGAAAAACUGAAGAGGCGGUCCUUCCAAGUAGGAAAAUGUUUUAAACUGCUUCAUUUUCAGAGUAAAGCUCUCUUUCAUUUGGCAAAUAUUGAUCUCCAGCCUACCUGCCUAUAAGAAAUGCUGCUGGUUGAUAACACCUGACUUCCUUUCACAGAAUCCUCCUUGAGGCUUCUUGUUCACGGGUCCUCAGAGAUACAGAUGGGAUCAUGCAGACUGCUUCUUCCAACAGAGUACUUCAUUCAUACAUGUGAAGGAAGCAGGAGGAAGGAGGUAACCAAGAUAAAGAAACCGAACAAGUGACUUUAGAGGAAAUUGAGCUAAUUCUAAAAACAGAAGAGAUCUUAAAAGCAAAUUUUAUCAUCAGUAGAGAUUUGAUAGAGCUAUAGUGCUUUCAAAACCAAGAAUGGCCUGCAAAAGAAAAUGAGCAAGCUGAGAACAACAAAAACAAGUUCUGGAGGCUGGAAAUCCAAGAUCAGAUACCUGCGUAGUUGAGUGCUGGUGAAGACCCUCUUCCGGGUUUCAGACUGCCCACCUUCCUGUGUCCACGCAUGGCGGAAGGGCUGCAAGCAAUGGAAAUCCAGCCUCAUAGGAAUCUGAGGAGGCAACAUGUGGAUGAAAACGCUGUCUUCUCUUCCUUAAAUGGGAAUUCCAUUCAAGGGAAAAACUCUUUCACCAUUGGAUUAGAAUGACCAUGUGGUUUGUGUUUGUGUCAGAGCCUCUUGGCUGAAUUCUGAAAACCUCUUUAAAACUCAGUAAAUCACACACUCACAUCUGUAGCAAAGUUGUAGUAAUACCUUUAAAAAAAAAUCUAUAAACUCACAUACUUCCCUGUACAUGUUCAUCUGAAUAAAUUAUCAUUUGAGAAGGCAUUUCAUUCAGAUUCUGUGAUUCAGACUUCCAAAUCAUUCAACCUGAAUGCUCAAAAUGUGUUUCCCAGAUGGGCAAAGUUGAGCUCAAGUUCAGAUUAGUUGUUGCCAAAACACUCAAUCUACAAAGUAUAUUGGAAUAUUCAGUCCUUUAGUCAAAAAGUCAUUUGGCUAAAAUGUAAAAUUGACUUUAACAUUUGCACAAUGAACUUCUUGAAGAGGAUAGAACAUCCAUGACAUGGAAGUAGCAGUCCAUUUGAAAGAUGCUUGGAUGAAUCCACACAAUAUAGAUUAGAUUAUCCGUAUUAAUGAAACUUUCAAGAUGGGGAUUGUGGCAUUACAGACACACUGUUCAUUUUCACUCCUCUCUUUAUUUUUUCUUGCUGUUUUCUCUGUCUAGGAGGCUCUUAUUUCUGUAUGGCAAACUCCCACUCAUUCUUCAAAACAGUUUGAAUGUCAUUUUAUCUGUGAAGCCUACCUCUGACAGAAUGAGUUUACCUCCUCUGUUUCCUUAGUCUUUUAAUUCAUCUCACUUUCUGAAUUUUCACAUUUUAGUAUUAGAUAGAUAGAUGAUAAAUACAUAGGUAGAUGUUGAGGUGUGUGUGUGAGUGUGUGUGUAUCAACACAAGUAGACUACACUGCCUGGAGGGCAGACAUUGUGCCUUAUUUGUUUAUGUAUUUCUAGUUCUUGAUGCAAAAUAUUUCACAUAACAGAUUUAAUAAUCUAUUAACCUAUUGUAAUCUAAUCUAUUAUAAUCUAUUAAUCUAAUAAUCUAAUAAUCUAUUGAAUUAAAUUAAAAGUAAUUUGAUUAUGUUGAUAUUAAAGUUCCAUUAUACCGUCAGGAAAUCAUUUAAAGAUAUUAUGUAAUUAAUGUUAAAUAUAUGUUAAUCUUAGCACAUGUAAUAAGUUAUGAAAGUAUUUUGAAAUGACAGGGUGUCAUGAUUAAACAAUACAGAUAUUUUAUCAGUUUGACAGAUUUUUCUCUAUAAUGAAUGCACAACUUUGGUCUGAUUUAUCACCAUUUCCACAUAAAUCAUGAAAAUACUUUUGUAAAUCUUGAUCCGUUUUAAAGCGUUUGGAUAUCCAUUAUCUUAUUUGAUUGAAUUGACUCAAUAUCCACAACUAGAUUGUGUGACAGUUUGAGCAAAUGUCAUUGUCCCAAUAUAUAAAUCUAUAAUAUAUAAAUCUAAAAUCAACUAACUUUCCCAAAGUUGCAACACAGACUAGUGGCAAAGUCAGAGUUUCACUCUGUGCUCUCU
ensembl:lncRNA